UAGGGGGCUUCACGCCCCACAUUGCAGCGGGGGGGGGGCCAGGGCUGGGGAGGAGAGGCCCCCCUCAGGGAACUAGGGGGCUUCACGCCCCACAUUGCCCCUGCUCGGCUGCUGAGGAAGGCCAGCCACAAGCCUCUAAGGGGCAGAGAAAUGCUGUGAGGGGAGGCUGUCUCCCAGACAGGGCAAGGAAGGGCUCCGUGCCCAGCAGUGGCUUUUACCUCAGCAGUUUAGUGAGAAUAAUUCAUAAACAGGCAUGGAGGAAAAGCUGUCUCUAAGCUUGCUUCUAACCCUCUGGGGGAAGGGCUCUGUGCCCACCUUUAGCUCACAGGCAAAAAUUUUCUGAGGGGAGGCUGGCUCCAGGACAGGGCAAGGAAGGGCUCCAUGCCCAGCCUUGGCUUUUACCUCACCCAAAUAAUGAUAAUAAAUUUCUAUUGCUUCAGAAAAAGGAGGAGGAAACCACUCCAGCCAUGCUACUCAGCCAGGCUAGGGCUUUUUAAAAGAAUGCUUUGUGGGAGAGUGGUGGGAUUACGGUCUUCAAGACCCCUGCCAAAAGCCAGUUUCUGAGGGGAAGGGAAGUUUCUGAGUGGGGAGUUCAUCUCCCUGCUUUGGCUUCAUCUUGUGCAAAAAAUAAAAAUAAAUGAAAUCUAAGGGGAAAGGAAGUUUCUGAGUGGGGAGUUCAUCUCUCUGCUUUGGCUUCAUCUUGCCAAAAGAACUCAAACCCCUUCUGAGGAUGCUGCAGCCGUGCUGACGUGUGCAAAAGCCCGGCCACCUCACUGCCCACAUUUGUAGCAUUUGUCUGCCGAGGGCAACACGCCACAGAUUCUCCCCGUCCUCAGAACACUGGGGCGCCACAGUCUUCUGCAUCACGGUGAAAACCUGUCCACUCUUAGCGCGUUCUUGCUCUGUGCAGACAAAUGCUAGAACUGUGGACCGUGUAGGGCAGGACUUCUGAGCGCAACGGCACAGGGGCUGUAGCAGGAAAUUCCCUGAGGCCAGGGGCUGCUGUGUAACUACAGACUGGCCCUUUUAGUCUGAGAAAACUGGGUGCGACUUGAGGCUGUCCAAAGAAACCUGAGGCUCCUUUAUUCUCCCGACAGCUGUGUAUGGCAGCAUAAUUCCUAAGAGAGUGGCUGGCUUGAAUGGAACACCCUCCCUGCGCAUUAAAAGGCUUAGGCUUCUAGAUACUCAGAACACUUUUCUGAGGCAGCAUAAUCUCUAAUUUUCAGGCAGACUUGUAUGGAACAUGCUUCAGGCUUCUUAAUUCUCUCAAGAGAAGAGAGGGUUCUCCUUAUAUUCUCUCAAAUUCUUUUUAAUGAGUUAUAUCUUUUCAUAUUUGUGAACUGCCUAGAGCUAACUGGAAGAGGGGGUAUAGACACUUAAUGAAAGAAUGAAUAAAUAAAACAGCUGUGGGAGUCAGCAUAAUCUUUAUAGGGAAGGAUAAUCUCAAAUUUAGAACCUGUCUUUAACUGAACAUUUUUCAUGUGUGUUCUCUCCCCACAACAUCGCUUGGAGGACAAUUUAGCAAAAAGAAACGGAGUUGGUGCAUGUGUCCCUACGACCCACAGACCGGAGUGCUGCUCUUGGAGCAUUUUUUCCUCCCAAGGGGCCAACGUGGCAGGUAAGGCUCCAAAAAGAGAAUGCUAAUUGUACAGGAGAAAAUCUACCAGAAUAGAAUCCCUAGCUGUGUCAUUGCCUUUUGGGAUGAGGCUUUUCCUCAGAGGACUGAAGAAAGGGUACCUCAAAUGUUCCUCCGAUUAUAUAUUAUGGAGUAUUUUAUUUUUUCCAUUUUAUAUCCCGCUCUUCCUGCAAGGAGCCCAGAGCGGUGUACUACAGACUUAGGUUUCUUUCUCACAACAGCCCUGUGAAGUAGGCUAGGCAGAGAGAGAAGUGACUGGCCCAGAGUCACCCAGCAAGUCUCAUGGCUGAAUGGGGAUUUGAACUCUGGUCUCCCCGGUCCUAGUCCAGCUCCACUGGGAGCAAAUACAACAUGACGAACACAUCACAACACGAAACGGCAGCAUCUCUAAAAUGGUGGCUGCCUUGAAUGGAAGAGGCUUCAUGCCUCUUCAAGCAGCUUUGGGGGAAUUGCCAAGAAGAGACACAAUAGCAUAUACAGGUUGUAUUCUGCCAUUUUGAGAACACGCUUCACGCGUGUUGGGAGCUUCAAGCUUCGCAACUCUUUUCUUGGGCUGCAUACAAUCUAAGAUUGUGGUUGCCCUAAAUUGAAGUGGCUUCAAGCAGCUUUUGGGGAAUUGCCAAGAGACACAAUACCAUGUACAGGCUGUAUUCUGCUAUUUAGAGAACACGCUUCAUGCGUGUUGGGAGCUUCAAGCUUCUUUAGUCACGCAACUCUUUUCUUGGGCUGCAUACACUCUAAGAAGUUUGCUGCCUUGAAUGGAAGAGGCUUCAUGCCUCUUCCAUUGUGUCCCCUCGACAACCCUGCGUGGCAAACCGGGCCAGAGGAAACGGAGUCGGGCCAGAGGAAACGGAGUCGGCACAUGUGUCCCUACGAUCUCCAGGCCAGAGUGCAGAUCUUGGAGCAUUUGUUCCUCCCCAGGGGCCAAUGUAGCAGGUAAGGCUCCAAAAAGAGAAUGCUAAUUGUACAGGAGAAAAUCUACCAGAAUAGAAUCCCUAGCUGUGUCAUUGCCUUUUGGGAUGAGGCUUUUCCUCAGAGGACUGAAGAAAGGGUACCUCAAAUGUUCCUCCGAUAUAUAUUAUGGAUUAUUUUUUCCAUUUUAUAUCCCGCUCUUCCUCCAAGGAGCCCAGAGCGGUGUACUACAGACUUAGGUUUCUUUCUCACAACAACCCUGUGAAGUAGGUUAGGCUGAGAGAGAAGUGACUGGCCCAGAGUCACCCAGCAAGCCUCAUGGCUGAAUGGGGGUUUGAACUCCGGUCUCCCCGGUCCUAGUCCAGCUCCAUUGGGAGCACAUACAACACGACAAACACAUCACAACACCAAACGGCAGCAUCUCUAAAAUGGUGGCUGCCUUGAAUGGAAGAGGCUUCAUGCCUCUUCAAGCAGCUUUGGGGGAAUUGCCAAGAAGAGACACUAUACCAUAUACAGGUUGUAUUCUGCCAUUUUGAGAACACGCUUCACGCGUGUUGGGAGCUUCAAGCUUCGCAACUCUUUUCUUGGGCUGCAUACAAUCUAAGAUGGUGGCUGCCUUGAAUGGAAGAGGCUUCAUGCCUCUUCAAGCAGCUUUGGGGGAAUUGCCAAGAAGAGACACAAUAGCAUAUACAGGUUGUAUUCUGCCAUUUUGAGAACACGCUUCACGCGUGUUGGGAGCUUCAAGCUUCGCAACUCUUUUCUUGGGCUGCAUACAAUCUAAGAUUGUGGUUGCCCUAAAUUGAAGUGGCUUCAAGCAGCUUUUGGGGAAUUGCCAAGAGACACAAUACCAUGUACAGGUUGUAUUCUGCUAUUUAGAGAACACGCUUCACGCGUGUUGGGAGCUUCAAGCUUCGCAACUCUUUUCUUGGGCUGCAUACAAUCUAAGAUGGUGGCUGCCUUGAAUGGAAGAGGCUUCAUGCCUCUUCAAGCAGCUUUGGGAGAAUUGCCAAGAAGAGACACUAUACCAUAUACAGGUUGUAUUCUGCCAUUUUGAGAACAUGCUUCACGCGUGUUGGGAGCUUCAAGCUUCUUUAGUUCCGCAACGCUUUUCUUGGGCUGCAUACACUCUAGGAAUUUAGCUGCCUUGAACGGGAGAGACUUCAUGCCUCUUCCAUUGCGUCCCCUCGACAACCCUGCGUGGCAAACCGGGCCAGAAGAAACGGAGUUCUAUAGUCAGGGCAACUCUACAGUGGGUUUCCCAGAGUCUAUUUCUUGGCAGUUUGAUUUUGAGUUCUUGGCACAAGACAAUGGUAGCAUUUGUAUAGUUCUGGUAUGUCACAACUUUUUUUAUGUGUAGAGAAGCUUAAAGAAGGUAAUGUGCUUGGAAGAAAUUUUAUAUUCAGUGACAAGGAAGACUUAGAUGGUGUGUGGGGGGAGUGCUCAAAUGUAGCCUGCAUCACUAGUGUUUCGGUAUUUUAAAACAAUAUUCUUAUCUUUUUCACACAGCUCAUAAUUAAUCUAUGGAAUUCUCUGCCACAGGAUGUGGUGAUGGCCACCAGCUUGGAUGGCUUUGAGCAGGGUUUAGACAAAUUCAUGAACUCUUUCAGUGGCUACUAAUCUUGAUGGCUAUAUGCUAUUUCCAGGUUCAGAAGUAGGGUAUCUCCUAAUACACAAGGAGAAACCUCAGGCACUUAUUGAAAAUUUAAAAUAAAUAUUGCGCUCAUUAAAAGAGGAUAAAACAGUAACAGACUACAGAGUUCAGACUAAGUAGAGUUCUGCCUGAACGCCAUCUUGGCUCCUCCCUGGGUGCCUCCUAAUACCAGCUGCAAGGGAAGAAGAAUAGGAGAGGGAGCACACCUUCACCUCCUAGUUGUGAACUUCCUGGAAGCAUCUGAUGGGGUACUCUGGGAAACGGGAUGCUGGACUACAUGGAUUUGGGCCUGAUCUAGCAAGGAUCUUCUUAUAGUCUUGUUCUAAUAGUGAAAUGCACAAGCGGCAGGCCUGCUGGGGAUACAUGACUUUAGCUUAUUUUUUUUAGGAGGAGAGCCGGUCUUGUGGUAGCAAGCCUGACCUGUCCCCUUAGCUAAGCAGUCGGCGCAUAUGUCCCUACGAUCUCCAGGCCGGAGUGCAGCUCUGGGAGCAUUUUUUUCUCCCAAGGGGCUGCCUUGAAUGGAACACGUUUCAUGUGUGUUAGCAGCUUUGGGCGAAUUGCCAAGAACAGACAAUACGAUGUACAUGUUGUUUUCUGCCAUUGAGAGAACACGCUUCAAGCGUGUUGGGAGCUUCAAGCUUUAGUCCCGCAACUAUUUUCUUGGGUUCAGUAGUUCAACUGUAGAACUAUUUUCUACACUCAUGCCUCUGGUGGCUGCCUUGAAUGGAAGAGGCUUCAUGCCUCUUCAAGCAGCUUUGGGGGAAUUGCCAGGAAGAGACAAUACGAUGUACACUUUGUAUUCUGCCAUUUAGAGAACACGCUUCAUGCGUGUCGGGAGCUUCAAGCUUCUUUAGUCCCGCAACUCUUUUCUUGGGCUGCAUACACUCUAAGGUGGUGGUUGCCUUGAAUGGAAGAGGCUUCAUGCCUCUUCCAUUGUGUCCCCUCGACAACCCUGCGUGGCAAAUCGGGCCAGAAGAUACGGAGUCGGCGCAUGUGUCCCUAUGACCUCCAGGCCGGAGUGCAGCUCUUGGAGCAUUUUCUCCUCCCAAGGGGCCAACGUGGCAGGUAAGCCUCAAAGAUACUGACUGGGCCAAGCUAAAGAGAAAACCAUAUAUGACAAAAAGAAUUCUCAACAUGUGAGACCAUAUAACAGAAAAAAUCUCAAGCUCUACCAGCACCUUCUAAGAUAAGGCUCUUCAUCAGGACUGGAGAAUAUAUAUACAAACCACAUUGAUAGUCACAAGAUAAUAUAAAACUGAAACAACUGUUUAAAGUAUGUUAUUCCAGAACUCUUAUAUGUUCUCAUUAGGCCAUCUUUACAUAUUAGAAGAUAAGCAUGUAAUAUUGCCAAAACUUCAAAAUAAAAUGCCUAGUUUCUUUCCCAACAGAUUUCACAAAAGGCGGCAACCACACACAAGCCAAGGAAGGAGGAAAAGAGUCUCUUGGAAGAACCAAGAGGCAGCGACACAGAAGCCACAAAGGAAUUAGGGUUUGGCUAUCUAUGACGAUGCACAAGAUAGCCAAAGCAAGGGCUGUGUUCCUCACUGCCCUGAAUGCUCUGUCAAUCCAGGGGCCAUCAGUAGAAACUUCAGGCUGCUUUGUUCUCUCACCACCUGUGGAAGGCAGCAUGAUCUCUCAUUCUGUGGCUGCCUGGAAUGAAACACGCUUCAUGUAUGUUACAAGCUUCAGGCGUCUUUAUUCUCCCAACAGCCUUGUCAAGCUGGAUAUCCUCUAAGAUGGAGACUGCCUUUAACAGGACACACUUCAUGUGUGCUGCAUGCUCAGCAGCCCUUUGUGCCAUGUUUGGAAAGAAGAAACAGAGUUGGCACACAUUUGCAAUGACCUCCAUGCCGGAGUGGGGAUUUUGGAAUGUUUUUUCCUCCCAAGAGGCCUGUGUGGGAGGCAGGAUCAAAGACGGGCUGGACCAAGUGGGUUUCAAGAAAGAGCACAAGGAAUGAGGAGGACACAGAGGACAAGACAAGCUGACCUGAUCAAUCUUGUGACGAGGAGGCGCAUUGUCCGAGAAUUGAACAGAUUUCAGGAAAGAGCUGAAGGAGCGAGGACAAGACAAGCUGUCUCAAUCUCUUUCGUGAUGAGGCUUCAUCAGAGAACUGAAGAACAUAUACAAAAUAUAAAGAUGUAUACAAAUACUGAGCAUACUUAUUUAUUACAUACCGAUUGUCACAGGAGAAUAGAAAAAUGAAACUCUGAAAAUGUAUUACUCAGGAAAUCUAAGGUGUCAUCCUUCAUAAAUGCCUCAUACUCUAACAUCAUGUGGAUUUGCUCACACUUCAAAUAAAUUAUGUAACUUGUUCUUUCCCAAAGGAUUUCAAAAACAGACCAGUGGAGGCGACAAGAAACAAGCCACGCCAAGCAAAACUGCAUUACCCUUUUAGGUCUUUUUUUCAGAUUGGUCUCAAAACGAGUGGCUGGCUGCUGCAAAUAGAGGCUUCAAGCGAGAGUUGAUUUUGUCCUUGACCCUGUGAGGUUUUUUCACCCGUCAGGCAUCCUUUUUCACUUGACACAGAUGGGUAGACUAGUGGAUUUUCUGAGCCCUGAUUCUAAACUUGGAUUGGAGAAAAAUGGAAUUUUUUCUUGGUGCAGAUCUCCUGACCUAGCUGCUUUGCGUGAGUAUUUGUUCAGUGAAUCUGAAAAAACUAUUAUUGUGAUGUUUGAAACUAACAUUUAACACAUUUGUUAAAGAUUUGUGGUAAUGUUUUAUUUUGAAACAUGAAUUAUUUGAAAUGAUGAAAGAAUGUUAAUAUGCCCAUAUAUUCUCUUUUUACCCAGCAGGUUGACUUGUAUACAGUGCCAUGUGGAUGGUGCAUAAAUCCCUGCCAAGGAGGAUAUUGCAAGAAAUCGGAAAUGUAUAAAAGUGGCUACUGUCAGAGGGGUAUAUAUUAACCUAUGUCUAGAUAUGCUUUUGAUUUUCUUUUCCCCUAGCAAUCAAUCAAUGUAUCUAUAGACCAGAAAAAUUUCCCCUACCAGACUGAUUUACAUAGACGGCCAUGUGGAUUGUGGGUAAAUCCCUACUUAGGAGGUUAUUUGAAGAAAUCCAAAGUGUAUAAAAGUGGCUGAUAUCAAAGAGAUGUGGGCUUGUGAGGAGGAAUGUCACUGUGAACCACACGCUUCAAGGAAGGGCUUUUUGAACCAGGAUGCAGCCUGCAGCUACGCUUAGGAACAUGGCAGCUGGCAAAAGUGGUGCUGCAACCCCUUCUGUGCUGCUGACACACAAGAGAAAAACCUUCUUUCCAUCCUGGGCCUUUUGCCCAAGAAAUCUCAAGAACCUAGAAAUUUAUGUGCAAAGCAUUUCUAAAUGGAAGAAGUGAAAACCCCACCAGCUCUUUACUCACUAAAUACUUUUUGUUGCCUCUGUGUAUCUCUUGUUGGACUCCCCUUGAAGCUAAAGAUGUGAAGUGCCAUUUGUACCCUGGGUCUCUCACCAAACAACUCUCAAGCCUGCAAAGUUUCUUGGCAAAGCAAAGCGUCUCUAGUUGGAAGAAGUGACAGCCCCAGAAGUCACCAAUCCUGAUGUUUCACUUUGGGAAACUUGAGUGAAAUGUUAGUUGGCCUUAUUGUCUAAUCUUACUCUUGAUUACUUCUUUUUAGGCAAAUAAGAUAAUAAUUUGCCUUGGUACUGAACUUUUAUCUUGAAUGGCACAAGGAGGGCGAGUAGGAGAUUGGGGCUGAAUAUGAAAAGAAUUUCUAAUUUCAACCCAUUGCUCUAAUUGUUAUUGCUCUCCGGAUAAAGGACACUGCUAAAGGAAGAGUUUAAUAAGGAUAUAAAGGAGUCUAGUAAGGAUUAAAGAACUAAUUCCUAUGCUUUGGCACAUUAUACUCCCCCACCCCACUUUAUAAGCAUGUAAUAUGCUUAGUAAGAUAUCUGGAUGGGAGCGGGGGUGGGGGGGGGAGAGCCCUGAACGUAAACAUUUAGUAGCUCUUUCAUGCUUUCUUCACAUUUGUAACUGGAUUCACUUACUCCCUAGUUCUGGGAGAGAGGGAACAUUGGUUUUGGUUCUCCUCACUCUUUUGUAGAAUUCUGUUUAACAUUGUCUUAGUUGGUUUAACCUGGUUACUUUUCUCUCUCACCUUUUUGGUGGUGAUUUGGAGGAUGGGGAGGGAAGGAUAGUUCCUGGGUUUAGUUAUGAAUGUAUUUCAAUGCUAACAGUUUCUGCCAAAGAUGAUGUAUUUCGACUCAAGGCCUAUGAUAUAACAUUAGUCCAAUUGGUUAUAGCACUUGCAGUUGUUGACAUGGGUAAUCUGUCCUUUAAAGAUGGGUGAUUUAAAUAUUUUUUCAGUUAAUUGUAAUGGCUUAGUUUCUUAUCAAACAUUCUAAGGUGUUUAAAACAAAGGACAGAUAUAAUUUUUCUUCAAGAAACACGUACUAAAAGAGGAACAACAACAUUGUUUAGUUUAAUUAUCCUCAUCAGGGAUAGCAGCUGGAAGCUCUAAGUCCAAAGGAACUGCCACAUUGUUUUCCCCAAAUUGCUGAUUUACACCCUUGAAAGACUAUAAAGAUUCUUUUGGUCAGUUUGUAUAUAUUGAGGGCACAUUUUUGGAUAAACCCUUGUUACUGUGUUCCAUAUAUGCCCCAAAUACUCUGUCACUGAAAAUCUCUUUUAAAAACUUCAAAGUAUUAAGAUUCAGGUUUGGAUAAAUGGGUGUGGUUUUAACUUAACCAUAAACCCUGCUUUGGAUAGGUCAGCCUCCAAGUAUACUCCCAAUAUUUCUACUUCUAAGUUCCCUAUAGCAUAUCUCUCUAAGGAAGCUAAUUUGGUAGUUCCUUGGCAGUUGUUACACCCAGGGGAAGGGGAUUACACAUUCUUGUCUGCCAGACAUGAAACUUGUUCUAGGAUUGAUUAUGUUCUCAUCUCCAGUUCCCUACAGAAUGAUAUUCAAGAUGCUAUUAGUGAUAAAAUUUGGACAGAUCACAAUUGGAUAAUAUGCUCAUUAAGUUUUGAAAGUUCUAAUAACCCAAUUUCUUGGUUGAAAACUUAUUUAUUAUACAAUAAAGAUAUAUGCAAAACA